UCAGUACGGCGAGUGAAGCGGCAAGAAGCUCAAAUUUGAAAUCUGGCCCCCUCGGGGUCCGUAGUUGUAAUUUGCAGAAGGAUGCUUCGGGAGCGGUCCCCAUCUAAGUGCCCUGGAACGGGCCGUCAUAGAGGGUGAGAAUCCCGUCUGGGAUGGGCGGCCGCGCCCGUGUGAAGCUCCUUCGACGAGUCGAGUUGUUUGGGAAUGCAGCUCUAAGCGGGUGGUAAAUUUCAUCUAAAGCUAAAUACUGGCCGGAGACCGAUAGCGCACAAGUAGAGUGAUCGAAAGAUGAAAAGCACUUUGAAAAGAGAGUUAAACAGCACGUGAAAUUGUUGAAAGGGAAGCGUUGUCCACCAGACUCGCCCGGGGGGGUUCAGCCGGCACGUGUGCCGGUGUACUCCUCUCCGGGCGGGCCAGCAUCGGUUUGGGCGGCUGGUGAAAGGCCCCGGGAAUGUACCACCCUCCGGGGUGUCUUAUAGCCCGGGGUGCCAUACAGCCAGCCUGGACCGAGGCCCGCGCUUCGGCGAGGAUGCUGGCGUAAUGGUGGUCAACGGCCCGUCU
rnacentral:rRNA from 1 species